GCAGACAGCCCGGCGAACCGCGCAAUGCGCUUCUUCUGCCUGCAGCAGAGAAAAGGAAAGAAAACUCCGCAGGGGCUCCGUUGGCUUCUCCACGAGUGACAACCAUGUUUUCCCAGAUAGAAGACCGGAGCCCUGCUCCUUUGCGAUCCGCCGAGGGCUGCAGAGAGCAUCCUCAUCCAUUUGGGCACCCCUGCCCAGGAAGAGCCCGGCCAUCCCUUUCCGGACUGGAUCCUUAAGAGGUGAAUUUUCUUCCGUGGAUUCCGAUUUGCUCCGUCUGACCAGCCUAGGCAAUCCAGCAUCGCGUGGUACCAGUGCCGCUGGGCACACUGGCUUCACGCCGGCUCCGCCUCACCAGCAAGCGCAUUCCCAGAUAAAACACUAACUCAGAGAAGAAAUUUAACUGCAAAUUUGGUUAAUGACCAUGGAUUCCUAAUGAGAAGAAAAGCUAGACACUGAGAGUUUAGAAUAAACUCAAGAAUCUUAAAAAUUUUCCCAUGGAACUGCCUUUGCACCUCUAUAAAAAAUUAAUUGACCAUAUGAAAGAGAAAAAAAGGAAAAGCAAAGGGAAAGAAAUGUAUUUGAGUGAAAGGGUAUUUCCUGAAGAACCUGGGUUAUGCCCCCAAAUUGAAGAAAGAACAACAGGAACGAGGGCCCCUGUGGGGACAGCGCCAGAAACAAGAAUUCAAACAUUGUCAGCCCUGUCUGCUUUGUCUCUCUCUGUUUGCCCUAUUUUAUUCAUCACCGCAUAAUGCCACUGCUCUCAGUUUUUUCAUGUGGCAGGGAACAUCCCACAUUUUCACAGCUCCUGAACACAUAGAAAAGACACAUUUUCUCUCCCAGCUUCUGAUUAGAACUCCCUAGAGAAGGAUGCUGGCCAACCUGCUCUAGACCCCUGGCUGCCCCUGGCCAGGCCACAGAAACCACUGUGAUUGGCUCAGUCUGGCUGGUUAUCUACUUCUGUGACCAGGGCAUUGGGUGUGUGAUUAUGGGAUUGUCUGCCCCUGGCAAAACCACAGGGCACUUCCCCCAAAGGAGCAGAGUGGCAGGGUACAGCAACAGAACCACAAUCAUUUUGGCUUCGGAAUAGCUCUCUUUGCUAUCAGCCCCAGGAAAGUUAUUUAUCCCAUUCAUAAAUGAGAAAACAUAAUAAAACACAAAUUAAGACACACACACAGUGGAAAUAGAUGGAGUCAAAUCAUAUUCGUGACAUUCAAACAAUAUCACUUUUGAAGAUUUUAAUAAAUAUACCUUCCUUAGCAAUCUGCUACUGAUAUAGUUAGAUUUUCAGAAAUUUUGUUUUAGGAAAAAUUGAGAAUUUCAGACCUUAAAAUGGAUUAAUCAAAUACUCACUUUUGGAGGGGUCAGGGAAGAUAGGAGAAAAUUUCCAAUACAUUGUUCAGCAGUCUGGGGACGUGUUAGUCAAUAUCUGUAGUGACUCAGAAUACAGAAGUGAGGUGGUGUUUUGAGUAUGCUUUAUCUCUGUGCACAAUGGUUCCCCUUCUUACAGGUUCUGUUUCCAGAGAACAGGAAAUAUUCUGUGCUUUCUAGAUUAACUCACACUUCCAGGUAGGACUUGGUAUCUGAAUUGAAUAUAUCCCAGCUGAGCAGUCUACAGCGAACUCUGAUGCUGUCAUUGGUUGUGUUUUGUUUUGUUUCCAGUAAAAGAAACUUACUUAGCUGAGUUCGGGUCUCUGACAAAUGAUCAGUAGCUAUUUGGAAGUGCCUAAUGGUCUAACAUCUAAAACUUUGUAUUAUGCAUAAAAUUUUUAUUUUUACUUAACUGGGUGGUUCAACGGGACAGAUAAAAAUUGAGACAUCAUUAUGAGCCAGGAAAAAUAUUUACUUUUUUUUCUGUGUAUUUCUUGCAAUCUAAAUGAGAUCAAGUUAUUUAUGAGAAAAGAGAAAUCCUAAUAGGAACCAAAGGCAAAGCUUAUUCAAAAACACUCCAGGCUUUAGAAAAUUAAGUCAAAUUAGAUGAAUUAUUAAACUUCAUGCAUGCAAAAGUAAAAAAGCAAAUAUUAAAUAAAAGUGUCUUAACUAAUUGAGUAUAAACCAGGUUGAAACCAAAUUUUAGGGAAAGGCUUUGAUUUGAUGUAAUCAUAAACAGUCAUGUAAUCAAAGUAUCACCAAAAGCUCACAAAUCACCACUAUAGAACUUAUUCAUGUAACCAAACACCACCUGUACCCCAAUAACCUAUGGAAAAAAAAGCUGAAUUCCGUAAAUUUACAUAUACUUGAGUUUUUUAAUAAGAAUAAUGCUACUUGUCUAGCCCAGGGUUAAUACAGAUAUUUUUCUCCCUAACAUAAAUUAGAAUAAUUUGAUAACAUUUGGGUUUUAUGAAUAAUACAGAGAUGAAACCACCUCACAUAAUUUAGUAUUAAAUCACUUAAUCCAUAAACAUUUGUACCUGAUUUCUCAUAGGAAGGUAAUGAUUCAAAAUAACCUCUCAGGCAAAGUUAAAACUGUUAUUUUGGAAGCAUAGGGAUAUUCUGAUGAUGAGCCAUAGUCAGAUAAUAUACAGGGGUCUGGGAUACUAAAUUCUGUUCUUGUAUUUUAGAAAGGCCAGAACAGGAAGCAGUGUGAUGUAAAGGAAAUAACACUCAACUAGGAGAUAGGACGUUUGGACUUUGAUGCCUUCUACAACCAAAUAGUCAGAUGACCUUGGAUGAGCCACUUAAAUGCUUUGUGACAUAGUUACUUCUGUAAAAUAAGAAGGUUUGAGAGAUGAUCUCAAAGUCCAUUCCAGCUCUGUAAUUCCACGACUCCUUACAUGUAAAUGUGAUUAGCAUGCUGCUUAGACCAUGGAAAAUAAUUUUAAAAUGCUACUAUAUCUUCUUUCUUUCCUUUUCUUUCUUUUUUAUCUUAAUCCUUUUUAUGAAUCCAACCACAUUCCCAAUCCAUAUUGAUUUCUGUAUCUCCAAUACACAUCUAGUACAGAAGCUGGCAAAAACUGUUAUCUAUUAAAAGGGUAGUAUCUGUUGUCAAGGAACUCAGUCUAACAGGGCAAAUGUGUAAGUAAAUUGCAUUACUGUGAUUGAAGUCCAAAAACAUUAGUAAUUUAUGUUCCUUACAAAACAGUACAUCAAAGAGACUGAUGAGCUAUUCUUUAAGGUAGGCCAGAGACAAUUAAGCAGAGAACAUCUCAAUAUCUGAAAUAUAUUUUUUAAAUGAUUAGGAGCUAGU
ensembl:lncRNA DUBR DPPA2 upstream binding RNA